UACGUAGGGGGCAAGCGUUGUCCGGAAUCAUUGGGCGUAAAGCGCGUGUAGGCGGCCAGAUAAGUCCGCUGUGAAAUCUCGAGGCUCAACUUCGAGCUGUCGGUGGAAACUGUCUGGCUAGAGUCCGGAAGAGGAGAAUGGAAUUCCUGGUGUAGCGGUGAAAUGCGCAGAUAUCGGGAAGAACACCCGUGGCGAAGGCGGCUCUCUGGGACGGUACUGACGCUGAGACGCGAAAGCGUGGGGAGCGAACAGG
rnacentral:rRNA from 1 species